rnacentral:rRNA from 1 species
AUGAUGCGUUCUUUUACUGGUGAUCGUGAUUUAGUUCGAGCUGGAAUGACUCGGUUUGCCACUUGCUACCUUAAUUUGAAAAGUCUGUAUGACAAAAGAAAAGAACUGAAAGAAAUGUUCGGAUCAACAAAGUGGAGCGACUCUAGGUUUGCUAAGCAAAAAGCAGGAAAAGUUAUUGCUAAGUUGGUCACGGGCAACGAUUUUUGGUCAUCAAUUUUGCGACUUAUAAACUAUUUUGAGCCACUAGCAUUUGUACUUAGAAGGGUGGAUGGAGAUGUUCCUGCUAUGGGUUACCUUUAUGGUGAUCUUGAAAAUGCAAAAAAGGAAAUUGCUGUCCGUUUUGAUGGAAAUGCAAAGAAAUAUGGUUUCAUUUGGGAUAUUAUAGACGAAAGGUGGAACGACAAACUCAAGACUCCAUUGCAUAAAGCUGGAUAUUACUUGAAUCCAUUCUUUUAUUAUGAGAACAAGGCAGAGUUGGAGGAAGAGGUUUUCGUCGCAGCAGUUGUACAGUGUGCAGACAUGAUUGUUGCCCAGCUAAAUAUGUACACUAAUGGCACUGUUUCUUUUGGCUCUGCAAUGGCUAUUCGACAAAGGAAAAGUACAACUAUUACCCUAGCAAAUUGGUGGGCGGCACAUGGCACGGAUGCAAAGGAAUUAAGAAAGAUGGCUAUCAAGAUUCUAAAUUUGACGUGUAGCUCAUCUGCGUGUGAAAGGAACUGGAGUGCAUUUGAGAGGGUCCAUACCAAGAAAAGGACGAGAUUAACACAGAAGAGAUUGAAUUCUCUUGUCUAUGUCAUGUUUAACAAGAGGCUUCAGUGGAUGUAUGCUCAAAGGAAGAGAGACCCAUUAGCUGUAAAGUUUGUUGAUGAUGAACCACCGAAUGAGUGGAUUGAAGGGGAGGCGAGUGUUGAAGGGCAGCAGCAAGAAAACAUUGUUGAAGAACAAGAUGGAGAAGGAGAAAAUGCAUCUGAUUAUGAUGGUGAACAAGAUGAACCGGCUCAGGCUGGCGUAAAUGAGAAGAAGAGAGCACUGAGCAAAGGAUCGUCGAGCAAGUCAAAGAGAGCCCGCACCAUGGAGGCUGAAGAAGAGUCUUCUGACUGUGACGAAGAUGAUACAGGGUCAUCCCCUGCUGUCCCGUCGCCAUUGCCUUCUUUGGGUUGCCCUGUGGGCGGUGGUUCCUGUUCGUCUCUUGCAUCGUCGUCCAUACCGUCGAUGUCUUCGGAGUCGAAGUCGAGCAUGUCGGUCAAAUCAUCGACAGUGGCUACGAAGUGGGUGGUGGGUGGGCAUCGAAUUUCUUCAUCAUCCGCAUCCCAAUCCUGCCGGUCAUAA